rnacentral:rRNA from 1 species
GACGAACGCUGGCGGCGUGCCUAAUACAUGCAAGUCGAGCGAAGUUUUUCUGGUGCUUGCACCGGAAAAACUUAGCGGCGCACGGGUGAGUAACACGUAAAGAACCUGCCUCAUAGACUGGGACAACUAUUGGAAACGAUAGCUAAUACCGGAUAAUAGCAUUAACUGCAUGGUUGAUGUUUAAAAGUUGGUUUUGCUAACACUAUGAGAUGGCUUUGCGGUGCAUUAGCUAGUUGGUGGGGUAAAGGCCUACCAAGGCGACGAUGCAUAGCCGACCUGAGAGGGUGAUCGGCCACACUGGGACUGAGACACGGCCCAGACUCCUACGGGAGGCAGCAGUAGGGAAUCUUCCGCAAUGGGCGAAAGCCUGACGGAGCAACGCCGCGUGAGUGAAGAAGGAUUUCGGUUCGUAAAGCUCUGUUGUUAGGGAAGAAUGAUUGUGUAGUAACGAUACACAGUAGAGACGGUACCUAACCAGAAAGCCACGGCUAACUACGUG